UUCUUAAAAGAACGGUGUAAGUCCAGGAACAACGAGUACAAGGGAGCCUGACGCUUCUGAGUUCUGAAUGAGACAUAAACGGUGAGGAGUACCAUAGGGCAGCGCACUUUACGUGGGCAAGGCGCUGCGUGUCCCGAAACGUAGGUGCGAGUCGCAGCGUGGCGUGUCACGUAUUUUGCCUGCGCAGGAAUCCGGCUGGCAUAUUGGCUGAAAGUGACGAGUACUAUAACAUUGCACGCACGUUGAGAGAAUUCCAGAAGAGCGCGCGAUGCGUGCGCGCGCUGCGUAAUGCGGCAUCGCCAUGCGCCACGCACUCCAGCUCAGUCACCCACGACCCGAUUACCGCACCGACCGAGUCGCUGCCGAUAUCUCCCCGCCGUCGCCCCAGCCUAUUUCCGGACGUCUCGCGUCGCGGGAGCAGCCCUACAUCUGUCACCCGAGGGACUCGUAUUGUGGUGCUACAAGUGUCCUCAGGAAUAGCUCCAGCUCUCUUGGUCGAAUAGGUGAGCUUCGAGAAUUCCCGCAGAUGAUCAGCGUUGCGGCUGCAAGGGAUCCUUCCACCUGCCGCAGCGGUUACGGGGAGCGUCCGAUGUGGACCCAAAAAUGAUUUAUUGAAGACAAAAGUGUAUGGAGUAAAAUUGUAUCAUCAAAUUUA